rnacentral:rRNA from 1 species
GACGAACGCUGGCGGCGUGCUUAACACAUGCAAGUCGAACGGAAAGGCCCUGCUUUUGUGGGGUGCUCGAGUGGCGAACGGGUGAGUAACACGUGAGUAACCGCCCUUGACUUUGGGAUAACUUCAGGAAACUGGGGCUAAUACCGGAUAGGAGCUCCUGCUGCCUGGUGGGGGUUGGAAAGUUUCGGCGGUUGGGGAUGGACUCGCGGCUUAUCAGCUUGUUGGUGGGGUAGUGGCUUACCAAGGCUUUGACGGGUAGCCGGCCUGAGAGGGUGACCGGCCACAUUGGGACUGAGAUACGGCCCAGACUCCUACGGGAGGCAGCAGUGGGGAAUAUUGCACAAUGGGCGGAAGCCUGAUGCAGCAACGCCGCGUGCGGGAUGACGGCCUUCGGGUUGUAAACCGCUUUCGCCUGUGACGAAGCGUGAGUGACGGUAAUGGGUAAAGAAGCACCGGCUAACUACGUG